GAAUGGCUCAUUACAACAGCCGUCGUUUCUUGGAUCUCUAGUUUUACUUGGAUAACUGUGGUAAUUCUAGAGCUAAUACACUCACUAAAGCUCUGACCUUACGGGACGAGCGCAUUUAUUAGAACAAAACCAAUCGGGUUUCGGCCCGUGCGUUGGUGACUCUGAAUAACUCUGCCGAUCGCAUGGUCUCGCACCGGCGACGUAUCUUUCAAGUGUCUGCCUUAUCAACUUUCGAUGGUAGUUUAUGUGCCUACCAUGGUUGUAACGGGUAACGGAGAAUAAGGGUUCGACUCCGGAGAAGGAGCCUGAGGAACGGCUACCACAUCCAAGGAAGGCAGCAGGCGCGCAAAUUACCCACUCUCGGCACGAGGAGGUAGUGACGAAAAAUAACGAGAUGGAUCUCUUUGAGGCCCAUUAUCGGAAUGAGAACAAUUCAAAUCCUUACGAGGAUCUAGCGGAGGGCAAGUCUGGUGCCAGCAGCCGCGGUAAUUCCAGCUCCGCAGGUGUAUAUCUAUGCUGCUGCGGUUAAAAAGCUCGUAGUUGGAUCUGCGUGCUCGGAACUGGUUGGCUCACUGAGUUCAAACUGGUCUCCGGCGCUUUAUUUGCUGGUUUUCCCUUGAUGCUCUUAACCGGGUGUCUCGGGUGGCUAGCGUGUUUACUUUGAAAAAAUUAGAGUGCUCAAUACAGGCGCAAAGCCUUGAAUAGUGGUGCAUGGAAUAAUAGAAUAGGACCUCGGCUCUAUUUUGUUGGUUUUCGGAACACGAGGUAAUGAUUAAGAGGGACAGACGGGGGCAUUCGUAUUGCGACGUUAGAGGUGAAAUUCUUGGAUCGUCGCAAGACGGACGACUGCGAAAGCAUUUGCCAAGAAUGUUUUCAUUAAUCAAGAACGAAAGUUAGAGGUUCGAAGGCGAUCAGAUACCGCCCUAGUUCUAACCGUAAACGAUGCCAACUAGCGAUUCGCAGGCGUUAAACAACGACCUUGCGGGCAGCUUCCCGGAAACGAAAGUGUUCCGGUUCCGGGGGAAGUAUGGUUGCAAAGCUGAAACUUAAAGGAAUUGACGGAAGGGCACCACCAGGAGUGGAGCCUGCGGCUUAAUUUGACCCAACACGGGAAAACUCACCCGGCCCGGACACCGUAAGGAUUGACAGAUUGAGAGCUCUUUCUUGAUUCGGUGGGUGGUGGUGCAUGGCCGUCCUUAGUUGGUGGAGCGAU
rnacentral:rRNA from 1 species